rnacentral:rRNA from 1 species
CAAGUCGAACGGAGAUGAGAGAGCUUGCUUCUCAUCUUAGUGGCGGACGGGUGAGUAACGCGUGAGCAACCUGCCUUUAAGUGGGGAAUAAUAUUCUGAAAAGAGUACUAAUACCGCAUAAUGUAUCGAAGUCGCAUGGCUUUGGUACCAAAGAUUUAUCGCUUAGAGAUGGGCUCGCGUCCGAUUAGCCAGUUGGUGGGGUAACGGCCUACCAAAGCAACGAUCGGUAGCCGGACUGAGAGGUUGAACGGCCACAUUGGGACUGAGACACGGCCCAGACUCCUACGGGAGGCAGCAGUGGGGGAUAUUGCGCAAUGGGGGAAACCCUGACGCAGCAAUGCCGCGUGAAGGAAGAAGGUCUUCGGAUUGUAAACUUCUUUUGUCAGGGACGAAAAUGACGGUACCUGACGAAUAAGCUCCGGCUAACUACGUGCCAGCAGCGGC